AUAUUUUAAUACCGGUAGUGAAAAGUUCAUAGACAAGAGAUUUCACUACUGGCUUUCUUAAAUCAGUAGUGAAAAGUAAACACGGUGGCAAUGUCGUAAUUACAUUAAAAUUUGUUUUAAUUAUAUUUCACUACCGAUCUAGGAUUCACCGGUAGUGGAAUCCCUAUUAGUGUUAUUAAUUUUUUCAUAUUCUCAUUCAUUCCCAAUUAUCCCUAAUUUUGUUCAUUUGUUCAUACGUACGCGAAGAAGCUGCAACGAUCUAAACCUCCGAUCGUCCCAAUCAUCCCAGUUCCUCAAAUCGUCCCAAUUUCUUCAAAUCAAACACUCCUGCGCCAAAUCCCAAUCAUUCUCCAAUCUCUCCAUUCUCCAAUCUCCAAUUUCANN
rnacentral:lncRNA from 1 species